CCCUUAGAGUUUGAUCCUGGCUCAGGACGAACGCUGGCGGCGUGCUUAACACAUGCAAGUCGAACGGGGGUAGCAAUACCCUAGUGGCGGACGGGUGAGUAACGCGUAGGUAACCUGCCUCAUAGUGGGGGAUACCCAGCCGAAAGGUUGGCUAAUACCGCAUAAGCUCCAUCUUUGGAAUAGGGUGGAGGAAAGAUUUAUUGCUAUGAGAGGGGCCUGCGUCCGAUUAGCUAGUUGGUGAGGUAAAGGCUCACCAAGGCGACGAUCGGUAGCUGGUCUGAGAGGACGAUCAGCCACACUGGAACUGAGACACGGUCCAGACUCCUACGGGAGGCAGCAGUGGGGAAUUUUCCGCAAUGGGCGAAAGCCUGACGGAGCAACGCCGCGUGGGUGAUGAAGUUUUUCGGAACGUAAAACCCUUUCAGCAGGGACGAAGCGAGUGACGGUACCUGCAGAAGAAGCAUCGGCUAACUACGUGCCAGCAGCCGCGGUAAUACGUAGGAUGCGAGCGUUGUCCGGAAUUAUUGGGCGUAAAGAGAACGUAGGUGGCUAAUUAAGUUCGGUCUUAAAGACCGGGGCUCAACCCCGGGAAUGGACUGAAAACUGGUCGGCUAGAGGAUGUUAGAGGACGGUGGAAUUCCCAGUGUAGCGGUGAAAUGCGUAGAUAUUGGGAGGAACACCAGUGGCGAAAGCGGCCGUCUGGAACAUUCCUGACACUGAGGUUCGAAAGCUCGGGGAGCAAACAGGAUUAGAUACCCUGGUAGUCCGAGCCGUAACGAUGACACUGG
rnacentral:rRNA from 1 species